rnacentral:rRNA from 1 species
UAUCUCUGUAGAGUCUGCAUAUCAAUAAGCGGAGGAAAAGAAACUAACAAGGAUUCCCUUAGUAACGGCGAGUGAAGCGGGAAGAGCUCAAAUUUGAAAUCUUCAAGGUUCUACCUUGACGAAUUGUAGUUUAUAGAAGUGUUUUCUGUUAGUGGAGUGGCAAAAGUUCUUUGGAAUAGGACAUCAUAGAGGGUGAGAAUCCCGUAUUUGGUCAUUCCUCCUAGCGUUGUGAUACACUUUCAACGAGUCGGAUUGUUUGGGAAUGCAGUCCAAAAUGGGUGGUAAAUUUCAUCUAAAGCUAAAUAUUGGCGAGAGACCGAUAGCGAACAAGUACCGUGAGGGAAAGAUGAAAAGAACUUUGAAAAGAGAGUUAAACAGUACGUGAAAUUGUCAAAAGGGAAGCGUUUGACACCAGUGUUGUUUUUCCGAAAAUCAAUUACGAAUGUUUUGUUUUUAAGAGGUUAUGACUUCAUCGGCUUGCUUCUUUCUUUACGAAACUUUCUUAAUGCACUUUUCGGUUAACAAGUCAACAUCAAUUUCUUUUGUUGUAAAAGGGUAUGAGGAAGGUGGCUUUCUUUUCGGAGAAAGUGUUUAUAGCCUUGUGCCUCUGCAAUCGGAGAGAUUGAGGUCUGCAGCGUAGAUCCUUCGGGGUUAGAUACGUUUGUGCUAAGUUAUAGCUUUUCAUAGACAACUUGUUGACUAUGUUUAGUCUUGUAGCUUACUCGCUGACGCUAUUUUACCUACGCUUAGGAUGUUGAGUAGCGACAUACGCAC